rnacentral:rRNA from 1 species
UACGUAGGGCGCAAGCGUUGUCCGGAAUUACUGGGCGUAAAGGGCGCGUAGGUGGCCAACUAAGUCAGACGUGAAAUCCCUCGGCUUAACCGGGGAACUGCGUCUGAUACUGGAUGGCUUGAGUUUGGGAGAGGGACGCGGAAUUCCAGGUGUAGCGGUGAAAUGCGUAGAUAUCUGGAGGAACACCGGUGGCGAAGGCGGCGUCCUGGACCAAUACUGACACUGAAACGCGAAAGCCAGGGGAGCAAACGGG